GACGAACGCUGGCGGCGUGCUUAACACAUGCAAGUCGAACGGAAAGGCCCUGCUUUUGUGGGGUGCUCGAGUGGCGAACGGGUGAGUAACACGUGAGUAACCUGCCCUUGACUUUGGGAUAACUUCAGGAAACUGGGGCUAAUACCGGAUAGGAGCUCCUGCUGCAUGGUGGGGGUUGGAAAGUUUCGGCGGUUGGGGAUGGACUCGCGGCUUAUCAGCUUGUUGGUGGGGUAGUGGCUUACCAAGGCCUUGACGGGUAGCCGGCCUGAGAGGGUGACCGGCCACAUUGGGACUGAGAUACGGCCCAGACUCCUACGGGAGGCAGCAGUGGGGAAGAGUGCACAAUGGGCGGAAGCCUGAUGCAGCACAGCCGCGUGCGGGAUGACGGCCUUCGGGUUGGAAACCGCUUUCGCCUGUGACGAAGCGUGAGUGACGGUAAUGGGUAAAGAAGCACCGGCUAACUACGUG
rnacentral:rRNA from 1 species